UUUAUCUGCAUAGACUCCAACCUUGCAGACCACAGGUUAUUAGGAGUUUCUUAGAGCUGGCUAGGGUGUCUCCUAGGAACGCAGCUUCAGAUGCCAGCCCUGAGUUAGAACUUUAACAUUCCAAAAUGGCAGGAAACAGGUUCUACCUUUACUUUAGAAAAAAGCCUUCUUAUUUUGGGUACUUGAUGCUGUCCAUGUUUUUCUAGGGUGGAUGGACCUGGAGGAGGGCAAUGACAAAGGCCUUCUCUGAGCUCUGGAAGGAGGACUUCUCCAACAGCAGGCCACAGGAGUGCUGGCUGGAGGCCCAGAGUAGUGCAGCUGGACAGACAGAGCUGAAGCAGGAGGCACCUUUCUUUCAGGGAAUGGCUCUCAGAAGACAAAUGCAGUUACUUACUAUAUACCAGCUGGAGCUUGCCACAAACAAGACCAGUUAAAUAACUGAGAAGCUGACCCAUUGCAGUUCCAGGCUCUUCUCUAUGGUAUGUCCUGCUACCCUCAGUCAUGGGAGUAACUGCCAUGAUAUUGAAGUGCAUUUCAAAUCAAAACAGACAUCAGAAGUCAUGUUGUUGCUGUUUGUACAGUGUCAGAGAUCAAGGAUGGGCCUGGUGUGCUCUACCAUAAUUCACAGUGAGUCACCUUUGGGACCAAAUGAAGCUAGAGGUGUGCAAGCAGAACUUGCCCACCUUCAAGGACACAGCUCAGUCUCAGCCCUGCAAUCCUGACAAGUCUGCUCAGGGCUCUCUGAGCAGCCCCUGCUGUGCUGUGCUGCAGGCUCUCACUGCAGACACGUGGUCCUGCAACAGGGAUCCCUCCACCCCUGCCUUAGCACCUCCUCCUCCUCUAUAGCUGUGGUCACCUGUCCUAUGGUACAAUGAACAGUCUCCAGGGAAGCUGUGAGGAAGGACUCCUCAACUUCUCUCUUUCAGGAAUCAGUGUAACUACCGCUGUCUUGGGUUCUCACAUGUGGAAGGGCAACCAAGAAACACUAAACUGUGGCCACAAGUCCAGUUUGAAUGCAACUAUUUUCAAGUCCGUUCUGUUUCCUGAGUCACCUGCAUCCUCAAAAAUCAGUUCUGGUUGAGUCUGGUUCAGCAUUGCAAUUGACUUUGGUUACUUCUUACAAUGCGUUUAUAUAAGGAUUUCAGAUGGCAUCCUUUAUAAAUUUUAAAACAGCACAACAUUAAAACAUAGGUUUUUUUCCUAA